AUGGCUUUGUUCAGUGAUGCAACUAAAAUACGACUCCAGUUUUUAAUAGAUCGUAUUAUAUGCAAGGGCACCGUUUCAGUUGAGUGUUUAACAUAACAUAAAUACCAAUUUCUGAUGUCUAUUUAUAAAAUGAAAGUAUAUCAAGCCCGGUUGCCCUCCUUCGAUCCUAUAUAUAUAUAAUAAUAAUAUGUAAAUUUUACACGAAUCGGAUUUUUAUUAAUACCAAUGAUUGGUGCUCGGAAAUGAAUUGAAGGAUACAGCCCAGAAUUUGAAGCAUAAGCUCUUUUGUGGCGUAGUUUUAACCCGUGGUAUAGAAAAGAAAUAUUUGUUUACCGAAUGGCGGGUCGAACGUCAAAGUAAUAUUCCGCCUCUGAAGUAUGUGCGGAUAUCCGAUCCAGACAGGGUGUUCAGUGAAAAGAUAAUUGGGAAUAUAAAUUAAAUUAUGUAUGUUCAGACUAUACCGUAAUUGGUAUAAAGAAUAUCGCUACAAUAUUCACGACAAGGUUAGACUUAGCCAGGGAAUAGUGACGAAGUUUACAUUCACCGUCCGGCCAAAAACAUAACCCAAAUGCUAAAAAUUAAUGCAUUGAUUGACGAUACACCACAAAGAGACCGACCAUCUGAUAAAGAUAUUGAAGGUGGUUGCCGUCUUGAUCAUGAAUAUUCACCAAAACCUUGCAGAAAAUGUAACUUCAAACACCGUUCAUCGAUUCUAGACUAAAACAUCAACACAGCUUCCCAGGUAAUAGAGAGAAAAAGAACGAGCGAGUUGCUAUAAAUAGACGAACUUCAUGAGAGGCAAAAAUCAAUUCUACCAUCUUCUUAACGUGCAAAGGGGGGCGGGGAGCAUAUUAUAUUAUGCGAACUUGCCUGAAAAAACACGGUUCAUACCACUGGAAAUGGUAUGGCCUUGGGAAAGUCACUAUGAUAUAUCCCAGUUGAACACGUCAUGUAUUAACAGCAAAUACGAGUAUGGCAAACAACUAAAUUAUAUGAAAUUCAAACCGAUCGAAGUUGCACACCUUUUAAUAUCGCGAUUAUUUUCUAUGAGCCUUUGUUUGAUAACCGAUGAAGAAACUGUCGAUCAUCGGUAACUUUGAUAGAAUAUCAAGAUGAUUAUGCUGAUUGAAUAUUGAUCUCUAGCGAGACAACCUUGCUUGUAGAUAAUCAACCGUGCAAUGAUAGACAUGUUAAUACAUAUACAGUGUAACCCAUAAUGGUCAAGGUCACUUGUUGUUUCAUUGGACCUUUACCAACUUAAUUGAUUAAUUCUUGAAUGGUGUAUAUAAAAUUGAUAGGAUAGGUAAUUAUAAAUAUUGUAGCUAUUGCGGCUUCUAUACAUUCGGUAAUGUUUAUUGCCCACUCUCGAUCGUCUAGAUCUCUGUGAUACAAUCGACAUUCCUAUAUAAAUUCAGAUAAUUUCUGACCAGUUUGGAAUAUUUAUCCGAAUAUUGAUUAAAGCUUAAUAAAAUAUAACGUCACUGUUAACAUGUAACCGUGGAAGAAAUAGGAAAUGCCUAGAAAAAUCCUUCCAGAUUGGACAAGCUACACAUUGGCAUGUACAAACGUGGGAUGAAACCGCGGCAAUGGUGAUCAACAGCAAAACGCCACUCACGCACCACCAUGCACACUGGACCCUAGGGACCCCCUCCUGGAAAUUAACAAAAUGAAAUCCCCAUAUUAAGACCACCUGUGAAACUGUCUAGAUCUGGUCUUAAUAGUGUGGUGGUCUUGCUACUGAGUGAGCAUUCUUUGGGCAAUUUGAAUGAAAUACUGACACAGUGUUAUGUAAAUUGUUAUGUAUUUUGUUAUGUAUAUUUAGGCAUUUUUAUUAUUUAUUUUUUUAGUCUAAGUUAAGAUACUAAUAUUACAAAGUAUAAACAAAUACAUGUAAUAAUAAUUAUACAUGAUAAAAAAAACCCAAUUAUUAAGUGAUUGAACUUCCUAGAUAAUUGAGAAAUGGUAUGAUAGCCUCACUAUCUGAGGAUAAAGGAAGUAAAUUAUAGACUUAUGUCUACUGAGUUAUAUAUACAUUACUGGAAGAAACCAUAAACAUUCUCUGCUGUCGUUUUUUUUCUUCUUCUUCAAACGACUUAGAUCUCUAAAAUGCCACCACAAAUCAGCCCUGAGUUUGCUUGGCCAUUUGUAUCUUACUACAAUAGACAAUUGAAUUAGUGUAAUGCAGGUUUGUCUGCGCAGAAUAUCAAUCUUGUGUGUCAAACUUUACUUUUCUUUCGUGUCUUGUUUGGACUAGCAUGGCACAGCCCUUGACCACUAUUAAUACAGACAUCUUCAAUCCACAGACGAAUUAUAAUUUGUUACAACUGCGUACAUAAAAGAGAUGUCGCAUCUAAUAAAUGAUAAUAAAGACAUUAGAAAAAGUUCAGAUUUCCACGUUUAAGUGCUACCCUCAAUUAAACCAUGCGUUCAUAAUAACACCAAUACUGACACAUCUUACGUUUGUAGUAAA